rnacentral:rRNA from 1 species
UAGGGAAUCUUCGGCAAUGGGGGCAACCCUGACCGAGCAACGCCGCGUGAGUGAAGAAGGUUUUCGGAUCGUAAAGCUCUGUUGUAAGUCAAGAACGGGUGUGAGAGUGGAAAGUUCACACUGUGACGGUAGCUUACCAGAAAGGGACGGCUAACUACGUGCCAGCAGCCGCGGUAAUACGUAGGGUCCCGAGCGUUGUCCGGAUUUAUUGGGCGUAAAGCGAGCGCAGGCGGUUUGAUAAGUCUGAAGUUAAAGGCUGUGGCUCAACCAUAGUUCGCUUUGGAAACUGUCAAACUUGAGUGCAGAAGGGGAGAGUGGAAUUCCAUGUGUAGCGGUG